rnacentral:rRNA from 1 species
CGUUCCGCCUUAUCACUUUCGAUGGUAGUUUAUGUGCCUACCAUGGUUGUAACGGGUAACGGAGAAUAAGGGUUCGACUCCGGAGAGGGAGCCUGAGAAACGGCUACCACAUCCAAGGAAGGCAGCAGGCGCGCAAAUUACCCACUCUCGGAAUGAGGAGGUAGUGACGAAAAAUAACGAGACCGUUCUCUUUGAGGCCGGUUAUCGGAAUGGGUACAAUUUAAACCCGUUAACGAGAAUCUAUGAGAGGGCAAGUCUGGUGCCAGCAGCCGCGGUAAUUCCAGCUCUCAAAGUGUAUAUCGUUAUUGCUGCGGUUAAAAAGCUCGUAGUUGGAUCUUCGUCUUAGGACCUGGUCCGUCCAUUGGACGAGAACUGGGAACCUAGACUUCAUUGGCCAGUUUUCCCUAUGUUACCUUAAUUGGUUGCAUAGGGUGGCGGGCAAGUUUACCUUGAAAAAAUUAGAGUGCUCAAUGCGGGCUAAUGCCUGAAUAUUCGUGCAUGGAAUAAUGAAAUAGGAUCUCGGUUCUAUUUUGUUGGUUUUCUGAUCUGAGAUAAUGGUUAAGAGGGACGGACGGGGGGCAUUCGUAUCGCUGCGUGAGAGGUGAAAUUCUUGGACCGUAGCGAGACGCCCGACUGCGAAAGCAUUUGCCAAGAAUGUCUUCAUUAAUCAAGAACGAAAGUCAGAGGUUCGAAGGCGAUCAGAUACCGCCCUAGUUCUGACCGUAAACGAUACCAACUAGCGUUCCGUUGGCGGUAAAUACGCCUUGACGGGCAGCUUCCCGGAAACGAAAGUGUUUCGGUUCCGGGGGAAGUAUGGUUGCAAAGCUGAAACUUAAAGAAAUUGACGGAAGGGCACCACCAGGAGUGGAGCCUGCGGCUUAAUUUGACUCAACACGGGAAAACUCACCUGGCCCGGACACCGUGAGGAUUGACAGAUUGAGAGCUCUUUCAUGAUUCGGUGGUUGGUGGUGCAUGGCCGUUCUUAGUUGGUGGAGUGAUUUGUCUGGUUUAUUCCGAUAACGAGCGAGACUCUAGCCUACUAAAUAGUUACUGGAUAAGAUCACAAACGUCCAGAUAACUUCUUAGAGGGACAAGCGGUAUUUUAGCCGCAUGAAGUUGAGCAAUAACAGGUCUGUGAUGCCCUUAGAUGUCCAGGGCUGCACGCGCGCUACACUGGAGGAAUCAGCGUGCUGUAACCAUUGCCGAAAGGUAUUGGUAACCCCUUGAAAAUCCUCCGUGAUCGGGAUCGGGAAUUGCAAUUAUUUCCCUUGAACGAGGAAUUCCUAGUAAGUGUGAGUCAUCAGCUCACGUUGAUUACGUCCCUGCCCUUGUCACCCGCCCUGUUGCCC